AUUGAACGCUAGCGGCAGGCUUAACACAUGCAAGUCGAGCGGGGAAGGGUAGCUUGCUACCUGACCUAGCGGCGGACGGGUGAGUAAUGCUUAGGAAUCUGCCUAUUAGUGGGGGACAACAUUCCGAAAGGAAUGCUAAUACCGCAUACGCCCUACGGGGGAAAGCAGGGGAUCUUCGGACCUUGCGCUAAUAGAUGAGCCUAAGUCAGAUUAGCUAGUUGGUGGGGUAAAGGCCUACCAAGGCGACGAUCUGUAGCGGGUCUGAGAGGAUGAUCCGCCACACUGGGACUGAGACACGGCCCAGACUCCUACGGGAGGCAGCAGUGGGGAAUAUUGGACAAUGGGCGAAAGCCUGAUCCAGCCAUGCCGCGUGUGUGAAGAAGGCCUUUUGGUUGUAAAGCACUUUAAGCGAGGAGGAGGCUACCGAGAUUAAUACUCUUGGAUAGUGGACGUUACUCGCAGAAUAAGCACCGGCUAACUCUGUGCCAGCAGCAGCCGCGGUAA
rnacentral:rRNA from 1 species